CACUGAGCCUAGAGUUGUGCCUCUUGCUGGUCGAGGCACCUGGAACCAUCAAGAAGGGACUGAACAAGAGCUACCAGAACCCCUCAUAGCCCACAAGCACAGAAGAUUGCACUGAUGGGGAAAGCGCACAUUCUGACAAGGUGCUGAGCUCAUUCAUAGGUUUCUGCUUGUGAAAUGGACACAUUAGUAACAUGUCAUCAUCCUGAUGUCUGCACGUUGUUCUCAUUUGUGUCGGUGUCCUCCAUUUCUCCUCCACUAUCCUCAAGGAGUUUCAUGUUAGGUGAUUUGGUGAUUCCCGAUUGUCUUCUUGACGCCUGUCAUGGACUGAUGCUUCAUCCAGGGCUGUUUCCUGCCGUGAGCCUGGUGUUGCCGGGAUUGUCUCUGG